GACGAACGCUGGCGGCGUGCCUAAUACAUGCAAGUAGAACGCUGAAGAGAGGAGCUUGCUCUUCUUGGAUGAGUUGCGAACGGGUGAGUAACGCGUAGGUAACCUGCCUUGUAGCGGGGGAUAACUAUUGGAAACGAUAGCUAAUACCGCAUAACAAUGAAUGACACAUGUCAUUUAUUUGAAAGGGGCAAUUGCUCCACUACAAGAUGGACCUGCGUUGUAUUAGCUAGUAGGUGAGGUAACGGCUCACCUAGGCGACGAUACAUAGCCGACCUGAGAGGGUGAUCGGCCACACUGGGACUGAGACACGGCCCAGACUCCUACGGGAGGCAGCAGUAGGGAAUCUUCGGCAAUGGGGGCAACCCUGACCGAGCAACGCCGCGUGAGUGAAGAAGGUUUUCGGAUCGUAAAGCUCUGUUGUAAGUCAAGAACGAGUGUGAGAGUGGAAAGUUCACACUG
rnacentral:rRNA from 1 species